UACGUAGGGUGCAAGCGUUAAUCGGAAUUACUGGGCGUAAAGCGUGCGCAGGCGGUUUUUGUAAGUCAGAUGUGAAAUCCCCCGGGCUUUAACCUGGGACUGCGUUUGAAACUACAAGGCUAGAGUGUGGCAGAGGGGGGGUGGAAUUCCACGUGUAGCAGUGAAAUGCGUAGAGAUGUGGAGGAACACCGAUGGCGAAGGCAGCCUCGGCUGGGACGUUACUGA
rnacentral:rRNA from 1 species